rnacentral:rRNA from 1 species
GAUCCAGACUCCUACGGGAGGCAGCAGUGGGGAAUAUUGCACAAUGGGGGGAACCCUGAUGCAGCGACGCCGCGUGGGUGAAGGAGCACCUCGGUGCGUAAAGCCCUAUCGGCAGGGAAGAAACAGACGGUACCUGAUUAAGAAGCCCCGGCUAACUACGUGCCAGCAGCCGCGGUAAUACGUAUGGAGCAAGCGUUAUCCGGAUUUACUGGGUGUAAAGGGAGCGUAGGCGGCCUGCCAAGUCUGAUGUGAAAUACCGGGGCUCAACCCCGGGGCUGCAUUGGAAACUGGCAGGCUGGAGUGUCGGAGAGGCAGGCGGAAUUCCUAGUGUAGCGGUGAAAUGCGUAGAUAUUAGGAGGAACACCAGUGGCGAAGGCGGCCUGCUGGACGAUGACUGACGCUGAGGCUCGAAAGCGUGGGGAGCAAACAGGAUUAGAUACCCUUGUACG